GACGAACGCUGGCGGCGUGCUUAACACAUGCAAGUCGAACGGAAAGGCCCUGCUUUUGUGGGGUGCUCGAGUGGCGAACGGGUGAGUAACACGUGAGUAACCUGCCCUUGACUUUGGGAUAACUUCAGGAAACUGGGGCUAAUACCGGAUAGGAGCUCCUGCUGCAUGGUGGGGGUUGGAAAGUUUCGGCGGUUGGGGAUGGACUCGCGGCUUAUCAGCUUGUUGGUGGGGUAGUGGCUUACCAAGGCUUUGACGGGUAGCCGGCCUGAGAGGGUGACCGGCCACAUUGGGACGGGGAUACGGCCCAGACUCCUACGGGAGGCAGCAGUGGGGAAUAUUGCACAAUGGGCGGAAGCCUGAUGCAGCAACGCCGCGUGCGGGAUGACGGCCUUCGGGUGGUAAACCGCCUUCGCCUGUGACGAAGCGUGAGUGACGGUAAUGGGGAAAGAAGCACCGGCUAACUACGU
rnacentral:rRNA from 1 species